AGGCUUAUGUGCACAAGAGUGUAAUGGAAGAACUGAAGAGGAUUAUUGAUGACAGUGAAAUUACAAAAGAAGAUGAUGCUUUGUGGCCUCCCCCUGAUAGGGUUGGCCGACAGAAUAAAUGAUGUUUCUCAGGCUUCUGAAGAACUCUGAAGGCCUAAUUUCACUCUGUAAAAAGAAAGUUUGGUUUCUGAAUUGGGUCUUUUCAACUCUUGGAGAAAUUCCUUCAACAACCCCUGGAAGGAAGAAACAUUUAAUUUCACUUUUGUAUAUCCCUGAGGAUUGUACUUUAUAUCACCUUCUUUGAAUAGAAGAAAAUGUGGAGAAAUCUAACACAUGCUGACACUCUGUAGGAGUAACUUAAGUCUUCUGCUUAAAGAAGCAUUAUUUAGAAAAGCAAAGGAGCUUGAAAUUGUAAUUGGAGAUGAGCACAUAUCUUUUACCACAUCAAAAAUAGGUUCUCUUAUUGAUGUAAAUCAGUCAAACCCCUAAGGGAUCCAGGACCCGAAAGGCCAGCUUCUCCCUCAUUUUGAAAUCAGUUUUCUCCACCUGCACCACUGCAUAGCACAGAUACAGAAACCAUCCUAUUUCAGGAUUUGAAUGCAAAACUUACCUUCUUACUCUAAAGAUGAAUGAUCAGGGAGAGAUUUAUUCAACCCUGAGAUUUUUGCAGUCUCCUUCAGAGUCACAGAAUAGAUUAAGGCCUGAUGAUACUCAAAGGCCUGGGAAAACUGAUGACAAAGAAUUUUCAGUGCCCUGGCGCCUCAUUGCAGUGACUCUUGGGAUCCUCUGUUUACUUCUUCUGAUGAUAGUCACAGUGUUGGUGACAAAUAUCUUUCAGUGUAUUCAAGAAAAACAUCAACGGCAGGAAAUUCUAAGAAACUGUAGUGAAAAGUACAUCAUGCAAAAUGACAACUACUUAAAAGAGCAGAUUUUGACAAAUAAGACUUUAAAAUAUGACGUUCUCAAAAAUAGCUUUCAGCAGAAAAAGGAACUGGAUUCACGCCUUAUACAAAAGAACAGAUGUCAUAGAGAAAAUGAGAUCGUUUUUAAAGUUUUGCAAAAUACAGGCAAAUUCUCUGAAGACCACGGGUCCUGUUGUGGAGUAAACUGUUAUUAUUUUACCAUGCAGAAGAAAGACUGGAAGGGAUGUAAACAGACUUGUCAACAUUGUAGAUCAUCCCUUUUGAAGAUAGAUGACAAAGAUGAACUCGUAUUUUACAUUCACUUUUAUUCUCUUGGACUCUGUUUCUCAAUGUUGGACCUAAGAUAUUGAAGACAGGCUGGAGUCCAGAGCCUUCAUUCAAUCUCAGAUUUAUGAAAAUAAUUACUGGAUUGGAUUAUCAUAUGAUGAAAGGGAAAGUAAGUGGAAAUGGAUUGAUAAUGGCACAUCUCCUGGAAUUAAUUCUACAAUAAUGCGUUUUUCUUCUGGGAGAGGAGAAUGUGCAUUUUUGACCUCAACAAGAAUGGCAACUAUUGAUUGCAUUCAAACGUACAAUUGUAUCUGUGGGAAGAGAAUAGACUCUAUUUUCUCUGAUUCAGUGUGCGCCAAGAAGAAAAGGUGAAAAUGGAAUGUUUUCUUUUUUUGUUUCCCAUAAUAAUUUCUGAUUAUAAAUCAUUGCUUUUAACUGUGGGACUUAGUUAAUUCUUCAAAAGAUAAAGAUGAACAGGAAGAAAAAGAAAAUUAUUUUGGACUAUGACUUUAAAGAUCAGAUGCCAUCUUUCUUCCUGGAGAAGAGGAGAUUUUCUCUUUUGAGAGUGGUUGUUCCUUCCUUUAAUGUCCCUGAGGAAUUAUUCAUUCUUUCUAAUUCUCAGAACUACCUAUACAACCAGUUAGAGAACUCUGAUAUUAUAUCCUGGGUCUUUUUUCUUAUCAAUAGGAUAAAUCAUUCCAGCAUCUUCUGGUUUUGAAAGCAGUUGUGAACUAGAAUGUAGUUAUUUUUUUCUUCCCAUCUAGAAGUUACCUCAUCUUUUAAAACAUUUGUUUUGCUACAAAAUAUAACUUCAAACUUACUGAAAGUUGCAAGCAUAGUACAAGGAACUUCUAUAUAACCUUUACUCAUACUUACUAGUUGUUUAUAUUUUGCUCUGCUUUAUAUUUCUCUCUUUCUAUCUUCCACUUAAUAAUAAAUUGAGGACUUCAUGUCCCUUUGUCUAAAUAUUUUCCAAGAUCAAGGGCUUUGUUUUAUAUAAUCACAGUGCAAUUAUCAAACUCAGGAAAUUUAGCAUUAGUACAGUACUAUGAUCUAAUCUGUAAUCCAUGUUCAAAUUUUGUCAGUUGUCCCAAUAAUGCCAUUUAUAUGUAUUUCUUAAAAAUCCAUGUUCAGGAUAAUUCAAUGCAUUUGAUUGUAAUGUCUCUUUAGUCUUCUUUAAUCUGAAACAGUUCUUUAGGCUUUUUCUUGACCUUGACAUUUUAAAAAUUAACUUUAUUGAGUUAUACUUUUCAUGCAAUAAAAUGCACUCACUUUAAGUCAUGAGGAAUAUGGGUUUUAACAUAUAUAUAUACACACACACACACACAUAUAUAUAUAUAUACCUUACACAGUAUGAAAUCAAGAUAUAGAAUAUUUUCAUCAUCUCUAAAAGUUCCUUUCUGCCCUUCGCCACCCACUUUGCCCCAGGCAACCAGUGAUGUGCUUUCUAUCUGCAAAUUAGUUUACCCUAGUCUAGAAUUUAAUGCAUCAUGUACUCUUCUGUAUCUGGCUUAUUUUUACGCAGCAUGUUUUUGAAUUAUAUCUAUGGUUUUGUGUAUCAGCAUUUCGUUCUUUUUCCUACUAGGUAGUAUUCUAUUGUACAGAUAUACCACAAUUUAUUUCUUCAUUCACCUGUGGACAUUUGAUGUUUUUCCAGUUUUUGGCUAUUGUGAAUAAAGGUGCCAUGAACA